rnacentral:rRNA from 1 species
UACGAAGGUCCCAAGCGUUGUUCGGAAUCACUGGGCGUAAAGGGAGCGUAGGCGGCGUGGUAAGUCAGAUGUGAAAUCCCGGGGCUCAACCCCGGAACUGCAUCCGAUACUGCCAUGCUAGAGGAUUGGAGAGGUAGCUGGAAUUCUUGGUGUAGCAGUGAAAUGCGUAGAGAUCAAGAGGAACACUCGUGGCGAAAGCGAGCUACUGGACAAUUCCUGACGCUGAGGCUCGAAGGCUAGGGUAGCGAACGGG